rnacentral:rRNA from 1 species
AGGGUUCGAGUUCUGGCUCAGGAGUGAACGCUGGCGGCGUGCCUAACGCAUGCAAGUCGAACGAGCGAGAGAUGAACCUAGUGAUUCUCAAGCGAGUGGCGGACGGGUGAGUAACGCGUGGGUAACCUGCCUUACAGAGGGGGAUAACAGUACUGAAAAGACUGCUAAUACCGCAUAAGCACACAGUACCGCAUGGUACAGGGUGAAAAGAUUUAUCACUGUAAGAUGGACCCCGCGUCUGAUUAGCCAGUUGGCAGGGUAACGGCCUACCAAAGCGACGAUCAGUAGCCGACCUGAGAGGGUGAUCGGCCACAUUGGGACUGAGACACGGCCCAAACUCCUACGGGAGGCAGCAGUGGGGGAUAUUGCACAAUGGAGGAAACUCUGAUGCAAGCGACGCCGCGUGAGUGAAGAAGUAUUUCGGUAUGUAAAGCUCUAUCAGCAGGGAAGAUAAUGACAGUACCUGACCAAGAAGCCCCGGCUAACUACGUGCCAGCCGCCGC